GAUCCUGGCUCAGAUUGAACGCUGGCGGCAGGCCUAACACAUGCAAGUCGAACGGUAACAGGAAGCAGCUUGCUGUUUCGCUGACGAGUGGCGGACGGGUGAGUAAUGUCUGGGAAACUGCCUGAUGGAGGGGGAUAACUACUGGAAACGGUAGCUAAUACCGCAUAACGUCGCAAGACCAAAGAGGGGGACCCUCGGGCCUCUUGCCAUCGGAUGUGCCCAGAUGGGAUUAGCUUGUUGGUGGGG
rnacentral:rRNA from 1 species